rnacentral:rRNA from 1 species
AUUGAACGCUGGCGGCAGGCCUAACACAUGCAAGUCGAACGAGUGGCGGACGGGUGGGUAAUGUAUGGGAAACUGCCUGAUGGAGGGGGAUAACUGGGGGAAACGGUAGCUAAUACCGCAUACCAUCAGAUGUGCCCAGAUGGGAUUAGCUUGUUGGUGGGGUAAAGGCUCACCAAGGCGACGAUGCCUAGCUGGCCUGAGAGGAUGACCGGCCACACUGGAACUGAGACACGGCCCAGACUCCUACGGGAGGCAGCAGUGGGGAAUCUUGCGCAAUGGGCGCAAGUCUGAUCGAGCAACGCCGCGUGUAUGAAGAAGGUCUUCGGGUUGUAAAGCUCUGUCAGCGGGGAGGCGUUACCCAAACAAGAAGCACCGGCUAACUCCGUGCCAGCAGCCGCGGUAAUAC